UACGGAGGGAGCUAGCGUUGUUCGGAAUUACUGGGCGUAAAGCGCGCGUAGGCGGCUUUGUAAGUUAGAGGUGAAAGCCCGGGGCUCAACUCCGGAACUGCCUUUAAGACUGCAUCGCUUGAAUCCGGGAGAGGUGAGUGGAAUUCCGAGUGUAGAGGUGAAAUUCGUAGAUAUUUCGGAAGAACACCAGUGGCGAAGGCGGCUCACUGGACCGGUAUUGACGCUGAGGUGCGAAAGCGUGGGGAGCAAACAGG
rnacentral:rRNA from 1 species